ACAAAUUAAAUACAAAAUAAAUAAUUUAUUUGUAUAACUUGUUUUUUCUAGGACUCUAAAAAAGCCUUGUCUAAUCUUGCAUACAAAAAACAGUCAAGAAGUACUUUUGCCAAGUCUACCGCUUUGUGGAAUAAACAAGGUCUCUCAACUAAAUCAGCUGAUUUAUUUAAACAAAAUCUUGGUGUUUAUUUAAUUACACCCAACGAGACACGUUGGAAUUCACUGUAUGAUACAGUGGUGCUGCUUAAUAAAUAAAUAAAAAAUAAUGAACUUAAGUUUAGAAUAAUAAUAUUCAAAUUAGCUAUUGUCAGAUUUAAUAGAAGUGAUAUUUAUUUCAUGUGUCAAUAUCAAACAAUUAUGGGGCCAAUUUCAAUAAGCUUGUAUUUACUCCUGGGUGAUACUAACAUGUACUUUGGUCAUCUCCUACCUACAAUUGAAGAAUUAAUUAAUAAAUAUGAAUUAAUGACAAGUGAUCAAACAGUUCUAAUUAUUUGAAACCUCUGGUAACUACCAUACUUAAUGGUUUGAAAACAAGGUUUGCCGAUUAUUUGAUAGACAAAUUUUUAAUUACUGCUGCAGUCUGCCACCCACUAUUUAAAAAACCAUGGAUUAAAAAUGAUAUAAAAAAAUAAUUGGUCCCAGAAUAUAAAGUGCCUGUUAUGACUUACAUACCAGUGAUAAUGACAAUAAUGAUGUAGAAGAUAACCAAAUGAAAGAUAAUUUAUAUACCUUUUUUACCUUUUCACAAUAUUCUCGAGAGGAAAAAUCAACAGUUAGUGAUGAAAUAGAUAGAUAUUUGGGCACAUCUCCAAUAAAGACUUUAGAAUGUUUGCAUAAUUUACUUACUUUAAAAAUUUUCAGGUGUUUUUGAAGUACAACACUCCACUACCUAGCAGUGAAUCAGUAGAGAGAGUGUUUAGUGUUGGUGAUGCAACAAUACAAAAAAAGAAUGAAUAUGACGAAUCAAUAUUUUGAACAAAUAAUGUUCUUAAAA